rnacentral:rRNA from 1 species
CAGUCGCCGCGGGAAUACGAAGGGGGCUAGCGUUGUUCGGAAUCACUGGGCGUAAAGCGCACGUAGGCGGAUUUUUAAGUCAGGGGUGAAAUCCCGAGGCUCAACCUCGGAACUGCCUUUGAUACUGGCGACCUUGAGUAUGGGAGAGGUGAGUGGAACUCCGAGUGUAGAGGUGAAAUUCGUAGAUAUUCGGAAGAACACCAGUGGCGAAGGCGACUCACUGGCCCAUUACUGACGCUGAGGCUCGAAAGCGUGGGGAGCAAACAGGAUUAGAUACCCCCGUAGUCCCUGUCUCUUAUAC